rnacentral:rRNA from 1 species
CUACGGGCGGCACCAGUGAGGAAUAUUGGUCAAUGGGCGCAAGCCUGAACCAGCCAUCCCGCGUGCAGGAUGACAGCCCUAGAGGUUGUAAACUGCUUUUGUAUAGGAAGAAUAAGAGCUACGUGUAGCUUGAUGACUGUACUAUACGAAUAAGCACCGGCUAACUCCGUGCCAGCAGCCGCGGUAAUACGGAGGGUGCAAGCGUUAUCCGGAUUUAUUAGGUUUAAAGGGUGCGUAGGCGGGAUCUUAAGUCAGUGGUAAAAGGCAUUAGCUUAGCUAAUGUAAGCCAUUGAAACUGGGAUUCUUGAGUUCGGUUGAGGUAGGCGGAAUGUGUUGUGUAGCGGUGAAAUGCAUAGAUAUAACACAGAACACCGAUUGCGAAGGCAGCUUACUAAGCCGUUACUGACGCUGAUGCACGAAAGCGUGGGUAUCAAACAGGAUUAGAUACCCCGGUAGUC